rnacentral:other from 1 species
UUUCCCCUGGGUUGUUCGCGAUGGUUCCGAUUUCUUGAACCGAUAAGCAUCCAGACCCGGUGGCCUUUGCGAGGGAGACUGUUGUGCGCCGAACUGGUUUUUGGUGCCUGAUGUUUUCGAAAGGCUACCCUCUUAUUUUGAGCAUGGGUUCAGGAUGACGGCCAGACGACAUCUCCGGGGGAUUC